ACCAGACUCCUACGGGAGGCAGCAGUGAGGAAUAUUGGUCAAUGGUCGGGAGACUGAACCAGCCAAGCCGCGUGAGGGAUGAAGGUACAGAGUAUCGUAAACCUCUUUUGUCAGGGAACAAAGGCGGGGACGCGUCCCCGGAUGAGUGUACCUGAAGAAAAAGCAUCGGCUAACUCCGUGCCAGCAGCCGCGGUAAUACGGAGGAUGCGAGCGUUAUCCGGAUUUAUUGGGUUUAAAGGGUGCGCAGGCGGUCUGUUAAGUCAGUGGUCAAAGCCGGGGGCUCACCCCCGGCGAGCCGUUGAAACUGGCUGUCUUGAGAUGUCGAGAGGUAUGCGGAAUGCGCAGUGUAGCGGUGAAAUGCAUAGAUAUCACGCAGAACUCCGAUUGCGAAGGCAGCAUACCGGCGCCCAACUGACGCUGAAGCACGAAAGCGUGGGUAUCGAACAGGAUUAGAUACCCCUGUAU
rnacentral:rRNA from 1 species